rnacentral:tRNA from 1 species
CAGAGAAUAGUUUAACUUAAAAUGCCAGCUUUGGGAGUUGGGUAUGGAGGUUUGAGUCCUCUUUCUCUGA